rnacentral:rRNA from 1 species
UACGUAGGGGGCAAGCGUUGUCCGGAUUUAUUGGGCGUAAAGAGCGUGUAGGCGGCCAAGCAGGUCAGCUGUGAAAACUCGAGGCUCAACCUCGAGACGUCGGUUGAAACUGCUUGGCUAGAGUCCGGAAGAGGAGAGUGGAAUUCCCGGUGUAGCGGUGAAAUGCUUAGAUAUCGUCAAGAACACCGAUAGUGAAGACAGCUUACUAAACUUUAACUGACGCUGAGGCACGAAAGUGUGGGGAUCAAACAGG